AUAACAAUUAGAAAUGAUUGCUAAUCCCGCAUAAGACCCCAGUACCGCAUGGUACAGAGGUAAAAACUGAGGUGGUGUAAGAUGGGCCCGCGUCUGAUUAGGUAGUUGGUGGGGUAGAAGCCUACCAAGCCGACGAUCAGUAGCCGACCUGAGAGGGCGACCGGCCACAUUGGGACUGAGACACGGCCCAAACUCCUACGGGAGGCAGCAGUGGGGAAUAUUGCACAAUGGGGGAAACCCUGAUGCAGCGACGCCGCGUGAGUGAGGAAGUAUUUCGGUAUGUAAAGCUCUAUCAGCAGGGAAGAAAAUGACGGUACCUGACUAAGAAGCCCCGGCUAACUACGUGCCAGCAGCCGCGGUAAUACGUAGGGGGCAAGCGUUAUCCGGAUUUACUGGGUGUAAAGGGAGCGUAGACGGAUAAGCAAGUCUGAUGUGAAAAUCCGGGGCCCAACCCCGGAAUUGCAUUGGAAACUGCAUAUCUAGAGUGUCGGAGAGGCAAGUGGAAUUCCUGGUGUAGCGGUGAAAUGCGUAGAUAUCAGGAGGAACACCAGUGGCGAAGGCGGCUUGCUGGACGAUGACUGACGUUGAGGCUCGAAAGCGUGGGGAGCAAACAGGAUUAGAUACCCUGGUAGUCCACGCCGUAAACGAUGACUACUAGGUGUCGGGAGGCAAAGCCUUUCGGUG
rnacentral:rRNA from 1 species